CCCCAGCUCCUGGCCGCCCUCCCCAGGAAGUGGCUGGGGCAGAAAGCACAUCCCCUUCUCAGCGUUGUUGGGGACACUCGGGACAGCGCUUGCCUUCAGCAAUACCGGGGGGCACAAAACGGCUGCCAGAGCUGAUGCAUUUAACGGUCUAAGCCGUCCUCAGCCUCCUGCCCUCUCCGCAGUUAUCUUACCUCUGCCACUUCCCCCAGCAACAGCUAGCGCCAAUCCCCUACCGCCACCCGUUCCUAUCAGCCACUCCCCCUUCCCCAAAAGUAUAUAUAUCCUGCCUCUUUAAUAAAACUUUGCAGCUUGAUCAGAACACUGUCUUGCUGUCAUUCUUCGUGUCUCUUGUCCCGUAACAUUCCUCCCUGACAGGUGCUCAAGCCCUCGUUAGUGUCCCGCGGGCCGGCACAGACUGGCCCCCAACGUGGAGCUCGAGAGACCACGCCAGGACAGGAACGCCGCUUCACCACAGAGGGAGGGAGAGCACUCUCCAGACACUCGGCCGAGGAAAAGGCCACUCUUCAGCGGCGGAAAGGAAGACUACAGUUUGCAGUUCCGUAGCAGCGGAAAGAAAGGCAGUUCCUUAGCAGUGGAAAGAAAGACUAGCGGAAACUCCACAGAAGACUUCAAAACAGCCUGUCCGCUCCCGCUGCAACCCACCUCGAGAAGGCGCUUCGUCUCAACCGAGCGGCCUCCAACAACCACAACACCUCUGCCUUAA
rnacentral:lncRNA from 1 species